UAAACAAAUGACAAACAUGGUACAGUGUGCGAAAUCGUUUCCAAAUUUGGCUAGCCAGUCGGACAAGCUAUGCCUGAAAGUUAUCAGC